AUGCCUCCCACCACCAAGUUCCUCCUGCUCCUCCUCGUGGCAACAGCCGCCGCAACGACCUUUGCUCUCGGCCAUGGCACCGGCACCGGCACGGCUGUCUGCGUGCCGCGGGAGCGUGAUGCCCUGCUGGCGUUCAAACACGGUGUCCCAUAUGAUCCCUCGGGCCGCCUCGCCUCGUGGCGGCGAGGCAGCGACUGCUGCCGGUGGAGGGGCGUAAGGUGCAGCAACCGGACUGGCCAUGUCCUCCAGCUUCGACUUGGAAAUAGCUACUCGUACUUUGAUCAGGAAUUUUAUACUGGUCGGAUAACAUCUUUGGAUGGCCAGAUAAGUCCAUCUCUAUUUUCUCUGGAGCAUUUGGAGCACCUUGAUCUCGCCUGCAAUUUUCCAUAUAUAUGUAGCAAUUGCGGUCAUGUUCCAAAACUAUGGGGCUCUCUAAAAAACUUGAGAUACCUGAACCUCUCCCAUGUACCAGUCCAUGACGACACGUUGCUUCGUCAGCUUGGUAACCUGUCUAAGCUGCAGUAUCUCGACCUCUCCGGUGUACAAGUCGGUGACAACACGUUGCUUCGUCAGCUUGGUAACCUCUCUAAGCUGCAGUAUCUCGACCUUUCCUACACCACCUACACCAUAGUGCAACCAACAGAUUUUUUAAGCUUAACACAUCUACCUUUGCUACACCAUCUUGACCUUGGUGGGUUCAAUCUCACCAUGGUACAUGAUUGGCCUAGUAUCGUGAAUAUGAUUCCUUCUUUGCAAGUUCUCUAUCUUGCUGGUUGCUCGCUUCAUAAUGCCAACCAACAGCUCCCACGCUCGGACCUCGCAAAACUUGAGAGGCUUGAUCUCAGCUACAACCAUUUUGAUCACCCCUCCGAGUCCUGUUGGUUUUGGAAUUUGACAAGUCUCAAGUACCUCAACCUUCGAGAAACCUUUUUGUAUGGUCAUUUUCCCAAGACACUAGGACAAAUGACAUCCCUUCAAGUCUUUGACUUUUCAUACAACAAGUAUCUCGACGGCGGCCCCGGCGGCAUCAUAGCGCCAGGGUUGAUGAGAAACCUAUGCAAUUUGGAAGUACUAUACCUUGAAGAAGGCCUCUCGUAUGGGAACAUGGCAGAGUUGUAUGAGAGCUUGCCACAUUGCUCGUCCAGCCGACUAAGAGAACUGUAUUUGAAUGGAAACAAUAUAACCGGGACCCUACCAGCUGGGCUUGCCCAAUUCACCAGUUUGGCCACUCUCAUCCUCUCUGAUAACCAUAUGACUGGACCCGUGCCCACUGAGAUUGGUAGGAUCAACGGUUUGAUUUCCCUAGACCUAAGAAACAACAAUUUGACAGGUGUCAUCACCGAAGAACAUUUCUAUGGUUUCACAAGCUUACAGUAUAUAGAUUUAUCUAAUAAUCCUUUGACGAUUAUAGUAGAUCCUCGUCUGCUACCCCCACUGAAACUAGAGGAAGCAUAUUUUGCAUCUUGCCAAAUAGGUCCUCAUUUUCCUUCUUGGCUUCGGUUGUUGCCUAGAGCUGAUUACAUUGAUAUGUCAAACACGGGUAUAACCGGUCAGCUCCCAUACUGGUUCCCGGCAACACUUUCACAGGCUAUAUUUUUGAACUUCUCCCACAACCAGAUCAGUGGAAGCCUGCCAAAAAAUAUGGAAUCCAUGUCAGUGAACUAUCUCUAUCUAGAUAGAAACCAAAUAACUGGUGAAAUACCUCCACUGCCAGAAAACCUCACUUGUUUCUCCAUAUCUAACAAUUCUCUAUCAGGUCGUAUUACAAGAUCUAUCUGCAAAACCCAAAAGUUGAAGUGCUUGGAUUUAAGCAUCAACCAGUUGGAGGGAGAAUUUCCUCAAUGUAUCAAGAUGGGAUAUAUACGGAGUCUUAUAUUGAGUAACAAUAAGUUCUCGGGAAAGUUCCCAUCUUUUCUGCAAAGCACAUUAAUAAAGUUUUUAGAUCUAUCAAGAAAUAAGUUAUCUGGAAGAUUGCCUGAAUGGAUCGGAGACUUGGUGGCACUAGAGUAUAUAGGAUUAAGCUAUAAUAUGUUCUCUGGGAGUAUUCCAUCAAGCAUCAUCAAUCUUGGAGGGAUGUACAAUUUUGAUGUAGCAGGCAACAGACUGUCAGGUUCUAUACCUCGCAAUCUUUCAAAUUUGAAGGGCAUGGCAGGUCAGGUGCGAUACUUGAACGUAGACUCGAACUCGAUGCAACCUCAAUUUAUUUUGCCCGUGUUCACAAAGCGGCAAGAGCUUCAUUAUAAACAAACAUUUGCUAACUUCUCAAGCAUUGACUUAUCCUUGAAUUACUUAACUGGAGUAAUUCCGGAAGAAAUUACUUCUGUGAAUGGAUUGGUGAAUCUGAAUAUUUCUUGGAACUACUUGACUGGAGAAAUUCCACGCAGUAUUGGGUCCAUGAAAUCACUGGAAUCACUGGACCUAUCAAGGAACAAACUUUGUGGGGAAAUUCCAACGAGCCUAUCGAAUCUGACCUAUUUGGAAUCUUUGGAUUUGUCCUACAACAAUCUGUCUGGAAGAAUACCACCGGGAUCGCAACUUGACACUCUCUACGACUACUACCCAUACAUGUACAGCGGCAACGUUGGUCUCUGUGGGCGUCCCCUCCAACGGAAUUGUCCAGGAAGUAAUAAUGCAACAAAGCUAGUUCAUGGUGGUUCCAAGAGAAGUGCACAUGUGUCUGAUUCAAUGUUCUUUUACCUCGGGCUUGGGUCAGGGUUUGUCGUUGGCCUCUGGGUGGUGUUUUGUACCAUGCUCUUCAAGAAAACAUGGAGGAUUGCAUCUUUUCGGCUCUUCGACAAGGUAUAUGACAAGCUAUAUGUAUUUGUCGUUGUCGCCCGGGCAAGAUUAGCACAAAAGGCACUGCAACUCAUUGGGAAGCUUCGCUAG
rnacentral:rRNA from 1 species